UUUGAGUAGGUUUUUAUUGAAUAUGCUUUUGUUGAAACCAUAUGGCUGACCCAUGUUUUAAGAAAGCUGCUCUAAAAUAUGUGUUUAGUGCAAAUUUUUAUUUAUUAAUGUUAAUUGUACAUAAUAUAAUAUCCUGCCUUGGAGCAAUUUGCUAUAGUUGAUAAACAAAGUUUAUUAUUGAGUUACCCGCUUGGUAGUCCAUGUGAAACUCACAAAGGCAUGGCAGUAGGUGAUAUGGCUUUUAUUCGUAGAGCUUUUGCUGGUAGAGCUUUUGUUAGUAAAGUUUUUAGUAAAAGAAUGUUACUCUUUGGUAACUAUGUUUUUAAAAUACUUUGAAGUUUUAACAUGUAUCUGAUAACCAAAUUGAGGAAGUACUUUUAGUAUCAAAAAAUGAUAAUAAAUGAUAUUGCAUAAUGCUUUCAAUUAUCUAAUUGUUUAUAUUAUUAAAUACGCUUAAUUUAUAAUAUAACAAUAUUUUAUAAUAUUAUUAAAUAAUAUUAUAUUUUUAUAUUAUGAUUAUUAUAAUAUAAUGAUAUGAUAUAAUAAUAAUAUAAUUUAAUAAUAUAAUUUAAUAAUAUAAUUUAAUAAUAUAAUAUAAUAAUAUAAUAUAAAUAUUAUAUUAGUAUAUCAUAUUGCAUAGUUAUUAUUAUCAAAAAUUAUUAUUAUAAAGUAUUGUUAAUUUAUAAAUAAUUUUUAUAUUUUAAUCUAAAUAAUAUAAUAAAUAAUGUAAUUAUUUUUUUAUGGGUGAUUGCCAAAUAAAGUAGAAUAUCCUAAUGGCAAACUAGGUAGUUCUUGAUUCUAAUAGCAAUAUAAAUCUUUGACUUUGUUCAUCCAGAUACAAAAUGGCAAUAAAAUUGUUUAUAUAUCCACAAUCAUAAUAGCAACAUAAAUGUUUACUAGCAUUUCUUAAUAUCCAUGUUACAAGCAUAAAAGACACCAAUUUAAAUGAUUACAGCAAUAAAAAUAUUUUAAAUUGAUUUUUUUAAAAAAAAUCCAUGUCUCUCGGGUAAGCUUUUGCCCAAAAAACUGCUUUCCAAUGCGUCUCAAGUAGAAGUUUUGCCUAAAAGCUCCAAAUUAGAGCCCUAAUAUGGACCUUUUUCAACUUUUGGAUGAGCUGGAAAGCUAGUUCAAUAUUUUUAUGGAACAUCUUAAAAUCGCUCAAAAGAGCUUUGACCUUCCAAAAAGCAUUUUGUGGCCCUCCAAGAUCAAUGCCAAACGGAGCCAUAAUAAUAUAUAACCUUCUCCCUUCAAAUGAACUAUCUGUCCUUUCCUCCAACUCAGCCAAUACUGUUCAAGAAUCUUGUAGAUAAUUAAAUAAUAAAGAGGAAUGCUUCUAGAUGUUGAUCAAGAUUGCAAUACGAUGAAACUUGAGGAAGUAUCGGGAAUGUAUAAACUAUCUAAAUAGAGCACAAAGCCUGAUAGGUAAUGUAACUAUGUACCACAUGAUAGAUAGUGAAGUUGUUUACUCAUAAUAAGUAAAACACCACACAAAGAAGUGUAUAUGGAGAGUCUAUGCACAUAUGUUAUAAAAUGCAUACUAUGCGCAGAGUCAUGUCUCAGAUGAAUGUCUAUAAACAUCUCAAGUAUGUUUGUGUUAUUAUGUAAUAGAAAGUAGGCUGACAUUUUCCGCUUUAAAAAGUGGUUUAUAACUUUAGGCCUUUACUUUGCAACACUUAAAUAUUUCUGCUCCUACAAUAGAUGAAUACUUAUUUGGUUCUUGUCCUAGUGUGAUAAGAAGUCCAUUCUCCAAAUAGUUAACUAUCAUAUACUAUAUUUUGUGUCACAUCUUUUUAUUUUGAAUUUAUAGCUGAUCUACCAACAUGUAAGGAUGAUUUCCCUUGAAUCUUUAUUAUAAUUUGAAUUUUGUAGUAGGCUUCGUCACCUUACUAAAAUUUUAUCGUCUUUUUUUUUUGCUGGCAAGGGGCAUCUAGUGAGAAAAUGUUUUCAUAAAAUUCCUUGUCGACUUUUCUAUUAAUGAAAGAAAUCAUAUUGCCAUUGAAGUAGUUUCUUGUCCUCUAUGACUCGCCAUCCCCCUUCUACCUGGGUAAGUGGUGCUCUUCACCCCUUUCACCAUCAUUUCCCUUUUCUGGAUGUCACCUUGUUAUGUCCAUGUAAAUUGUUAACUUGAUGCUGAGGGUGCCAACUACCAUAUUGGCAAAUUCUCUUGUGGUUGCUGCAAGAGACCUGGGUUCGAUGCUGCCUUCACCCUGAUUCAACUGGGUUUCCACCUUCCCUUUUGUCAGUACUUUUUUCAAGCAUUAAAUUUUGUUCAUCCUUUGAAUUCAGCAGUGAAAGCCUCCAUAUCCUCUCCUCAAUCUAAUUUCCAUAUUCUAUCCCCAAGUUUUGGUAGUCAUAUGAGGAAGAUCCUUUUUUUGUAAUUUUUGCGGGUUGCUUGUUAGAACUAUUUAUGGAGCAUUAAUAUCAUUAAUAAUUCAUGGAACAUUCACAUGCUUUCUAACAUAUAGUUCUCUUCUCAGGGCAUGCAGAAACUCUAGUCUUUGAUGUUCUAAAAUUUGAGUGGUCUGUUUCAGUUAUUUCACCUGGUGCUUCUGUUACUACCAACAAAGUGAGUUUGCUAAUAAUUUUUUCCAUUGCCUUUAUUUCGACUUUUUACAGUCAUGUGUCUAUUGCCAUUCAUCAGUUUUAUGAUGAUAGUUCUGUAGUUUUCCUUACCUAUGAUGUCAUUCUAAAUAUUUAAUCAGAAAUUCUGAAAAUUUCUAGAAGAAUAUCUUAACUUCCUGUGUCAUUAUGGUUUCUAUUGAUACUUUUCUUCAUGGCAUCAAUAUUCUGUAUGCGAAAGUUACCGUAAUGGGUUUCAAGUUGCUAGUACUGUUGAUUCUGUGCAGAUUUUUUCUUAAUUUGUUGAACAUGAAAACAAGCCCGUAGGUUUUGUUUAUCUUAAUAGUGGAAAUCUGAAAUGGAAAGCUGAUGCAAGUAAUUUAUUUUAUUAAUUUAAUUUUUUAAUAUGAAUCUGGUAUAAUUGGUUGAUCCCAGUUGCUUGACUUGGAAGGGCCUUUGGGUUAAUCGGUAGAGUAGAAGCAAGCGAGGGGAGAGGGGAGUCUAGGGGAAGAAAGAACGAAGAGGAAAGGAGAGGAGAGUAAUUAAGGCUUAUGUAGUGUUAUAAUUGGCCAGGCCAACUCAGGAUCAUUUCUAGCCCUAGUUUUGUAGGAUAAUAUCUUUAUCGCAGUUCAGAUUUGUUCUAUAAUGGCAGCAGCCAGCAGGUAUGAAGAAGUGAAAACUAGAAGAAAGGUGAAAGGGCUGGAAAAAAGACAAGAAGACAAAAGGAGUAAAGGUAGAGAAACAUGGUUUACUUAUUUCACUAAUGAUUAUUGAAGUUUCUUCACCUUACCCAGCCAGACUUUCUUAUGUCUAAUGAGGUCAAUUACAGGUUGUAUAGUUGGACUGCAGCGAGGAUAUUUCCCAGAAAAAGAAAUGUAAAUCAUGUAACUGUUUGACUAAGCAACUAGAUCAUCUAAAACCGUCAUGCAAAGAGAACUAGUUGGCUGUGAUUUCUUUUUUCCCCCUCAAGAAAGGUUAGAAAUCCUGUUUCUUUUUUUCUACAAUGGCAAAGAGGUGGUUUAUUUCUGAGCACUAUUAGGCCAGAUCAGACAUUCGUAGUAGCCCAUGAUCUGGGCGCUGGUCCCUUACUAGCUAACUGCCUUAGUGCACCUCCAAAAAUCUAGCCAUGACUUAAUGAUUCUUACUCUUGUGAUGGAACCUUUCUGUGCACCUUUUGUCUUAGCCAUAUGAAAGAAGCUCAGUGCAAGAAGUUCUAUUAUCCAGGCAUGGUGGAUUUCUGCAGCCCUUUUGGUAGGUGGCAUUGUAUUGAAUACUCAGGAUGUUCGUUGCGUAAAGAGAUUCAUAUGGGUACCUUCCUGAUAUAGUGAAGGUUACAUGCAUUAUCAGUGUGUGCCUGCCAUGGGUAAAUGAAACGAUUCCUUCUAGUCUUUUAACAAUUCAUACUUUCUCCUUAUCCAUUGCAUGACCUUGCAUGCAUGUGAAUUGCAUGAGCAUGCAUGUUUCAUUGUUUCACAAUGAAGUCGUGAAAACCUCAUUGAGAAAAAGCAUGAAACAUAAAAUGGUUGCUUAGAUAGAUACAAUUGGAUAUGUUGUCAUUAACACCUCAAGCUAGGGUAGAAAGAAGACAAAUUUACUAAUUUACUAUCAUUUAGGCACUAUUGAGCAGAAGAUAGUUAUGAAAACUCAAAUAUAUACUUUUUUUUACUUCUUCAUAUCUCUUACUGAUUAUAUAGCAGACAAGUUUGAUGGAGACAGCAUUUUAGCACAAGUUGUGGUCGAGUGGAGACAUAAUUUUCUCAUUAAAUACUUAAUUUUUUAAGUGCAUUAAUUUUAACAUGUCAUAUGAUACUUCGGCUGCAUUUCAAAUGUCAUGUGUGUAGUAUAUAACUAAUUAUUGCUUCAUGGGAAAGAAUACCAAAUAAUCUGCUGCAAUUAUAUUUUUAUACAUUUCAGACAUAAGUUAAACCUUUGGUGCUUGCUUUUUUUGAAAGAAUUGCUAAAGAAUCUGCUGUUGAACAGGGGUUCAGUGUAGUUCCUGUGCAUUACAAAGACAAGAUUUUUCUUGUUGCUUUUGGAGGAUAUAAGAAAGAGCCAUCAAAUCAGGUUAAGAGAUAAGCACAUAACUAUGAUAUGGUCAUUUAUAUUCUUCCUGUGCGCAACAAUACUUAUAUCCAUUCUGGGUUGUACAGGUUGAAAUAUUGGUCUUGUUCAAGAAUGAACAUUCAAUGAGCUGGCGAUCUGCCCCAGAUACAGAUCCAUUGUCAUAUGAAGAUUGCCCUGCAAGUACCAAAGAUCUUGGUGCCCAUCUUAACAAUGCUGCCCCCCCUUGUUCUGUUGAUCCUGUUGGCAGGCACAGUCUAGCAUCUGCAGUGGAGCAGCAUGCAUCUGGCAGGAAAUCUCUCUCAGAUUCAUCCAUUGAUCCACAUUCUGUUGGUAAUGUAUUACUCCGUAAGCAAUUCCACCAUGAAGAAGAUUACAAUUUAGCUCUUAAGAUGCAGAAAUCUCCCAGAGAUGACAAAUACAAGGAGCGUUGUGACUACUUGUUGAGUAAUCCUUCCUCACAAGUAAGUAAUUUGAGUACUUCAAUAUACAAUUCUGUAGCAGAUAUUAUGAUUCAUGAAUGUUUUGUUUUCGGCAUCCUGUGUAACAUUCAGCUUGCACAUGGGCCAUAGUUAUGCUCAUUGCACUGAGAACAGCGCAGUGGAUUCUUUAUCGAACUUUGUUAAAAUCUUCCAUCUUAAUAGAAUUUAGUUGUACCAGAAGAUCCUUACGCCAGUAGUCAAAGGCAUGCUUGGCAUAACCAUGUAGAUAGAUACAAUAGUAAUUGUGUGAAGGCUGAUCGCAAGUAUAACUCUUUAAUGGGCUUGGAAUGGUACUUCAAGAUGAUCUGUUUAUGUGCAAUACAUGAUUUCUAGCACAGUGACCAUAAGAAAGAUAAUAGACAGAAGGCAUAUAUUUUGUUUAUCUUGUUCAUAGAUCUCUUGUUUCUAGCUCAAAAUGCUUAAUAUUGUGCUUGGACAAUGAAUUGUCUCUUUUUUAAGAUAUUACAUGGGUGAUUCUCAUAUUUAACCGUUGAGUUUUGAUUUUUUUUUUUUUGGUGAAUUGACUUUUGAUGUUUCACUCAUUACAUCUUGUAUAGAUUGGCAAUCAACUUCUACAUAUUUAGUUCAAUCAAUAAAAGCAAGGUUUUUUCCUCUCUCUUUUUUGAUGCAUCGCAUCUUGGUUGUCACAGAGCUUUUUCAAUGCUUUUCCAGCUUUUAUGAGCCAAUUUAAUGUAUUGCCUCUCAGCGUAUGCUCUUAUGAAACUCUUUCUUUUCACCAUGUGAUAAGCGCUGUCACCUAAAAUGAACGAUAAUCUAAUAUAAAUCUUUGAUAUUGGAGAUUCAGGUUAGCCACCCUCAAAUUAAAUUAUAAUGUUAAGCUCAUUAGCAUGCUUGAAAACAAGGCCUUUACUAGGAGCGCUUCUAAAUUCAUCUGUUAUCAGUCUGAAACCAAGUGUCGUUAUGGAUUGCUGACUGAAGCUAACCUACAUGGUUUAUUUAGUGUAUAUAUCAGUAAUGUUUUUCCUGCUCAUUUGUUUACUCAUUUAAUUUGUUGGUAGUAUUGUAUUAACACUAAGUCUUUUUGCAUGUUUUGAGAAUAUUAAAAGCAUUCUUUUGAAAAUGAUUGGGAGAUUUUUGGGUUGUUGAGAGAUUUUUGAGGGCAAAUGAGAAGAGGCUUUGUGGAGUAGAUUGGGCCUCGUGAGGAGUAGAUUUGUGAUGAUUGAACUUGGGUUUCUGAAGUUUAAACUAAAUUUUUCCGUGGGGUGUCAAGUUCCAAAUCCGAAAGUUAAAACAUAUUUUAAAUUCCUCACCUAUAAUCUCUUCGUAGAUAAAUCAUUUCUCUAUGCAAAUCUUAUGGAAGUGGAACCACUGUUAUGUUUUGAAGUUUAAUAGAAGAUCUUCUAAUGCUCAAUGAAAAAUAUGGAUUUUAAUGUCUAUUAGUUAUUUAGAUUCUUGUUUGUAAAUUGACAUCAAGUAGUUGAAUAAAUAAUUAUAUGCUAAAAUGAUGUGAAAUAGACAUCCAAAUUUUCAUUUUAUUUUAUAAGCUACAACACGAUAUACGCACCCAAAAUUCCUAAGCACCGCAAUUUGCUCCUUUUCUAACUUGUUUUGCUUUAUUCAUCUUCAUUUUCUAUAUGUUCUAAUUGUCUAAUCUUUUUUAAUCUUACUAUCAUAAUCUGUUGUACUGCCCUGUACCACCCAAUAUGGGAUAUAUUAUACCAUACUGGGUAGGAACUAGUACGAAACUCACGUUCGGAUAGGUACAGGCUCUGUACCAUCCCAUACUACUUUGUACCGAAGUGUACCGCUCGAUAUUGAGGCGUACCAAAAAGUAUAUCGAGGCAAAUCGAGGUGUAUACCAACUCGUACCGAGGCAUAUUGAGAUAAAAAAUGGGAAAAAUAGUUAGAGAGAUGUUUCGGUGUGGGGUGCACGAUACCAUACCGAUUGUACUGUACCAAACUAGAAAAGCACCGAUAUGAUGCCCAGUACCGAGAUUGUGGACCAUGUUUACUCCAUAUUGACAUUUUACGUUGUGUAAAAAAUUUGAAAGUCAAGAAGUAACUACCGAGAUGGUGAAACUACAAAACCAGAAGUUAGUUGAACCUGGCCAUAAUUGAAACUGAAAUUGCAUUUUUGAACCUUGGUUACGGUUCAACAAAUAGCUGCCUAACAAGUACUUUUGGGACCUGUUGGACUUAUUGAAAUUGUAAUAUUUGGCUGUGUAAUUGUUAAAUAUAAAAACAUCCUGACAAGUAUCAUUUCUCUUCCUAGAACUGUUAGUACUUCCUCUCUCAAUAAAGCUGGAUCAAAUUAUCAAUUAGUUUAGCUUCUGACAUCCCGUUCUCAUUGAAUAAAUUGGUCUCAUACUUGUUGGGAGAAAGCCAUUCACUUUUAAGGAAAGUGUCAUAAAUUUUCCAGAAUAAUAUAGCUGAUUAAUUUCCAUUUGGAAACGUCUGAAUGAUAGUCAUUGCAUCAGUGCCACUGCCUCUUUGAUUUCUCCCUGUCCUUGUAGUAUAUGAAAAGUACAAAAUGAUAUUGAAUGCUCCUUUAUGGAAAGCCUCUGGAAUUUAUUGAGCUAUGCAUUCUUAUUCAAGUAAGCAUGUUCAGUUACUAAUGUUUCAAAAUUUGUUGAACUACGCAUUCUUAUUCAGGUCGGUAUGUUCAGUUAGUGUUGUUUUAUAUCUUCACCCGCUUCUAGGAAGUCUACUUUUUGGAAUGUCAUCUGUGUAGAAGAUCUCCUUUUCUUAAAUAAAAAUUCUUGUUGAUCCUUUGUUGCAAAUAUUAUACUUGUGGUUGGAUGUGAUUAUGGUUUACUUUGUGAUACUGUGAGAACAUAUCCAUUACAGUUCUUGCCAUGUCUCACUUCACAAAAAAUUCCCGUCCUUGAUAGAGUUUUUGAUUUGUUCUUUUGUCUCAUAAAUGCAAAAAAUUUGAAGUUCAUGCAUCCUCUUACUGCUAUAAAAUUGUUUUCAGGCAAUGGAGCAGAGAAGUAAGAAACAAGAAACUGCAAUCCAGAUGGAUAUUGCUGGAAUUCUAGCUAGCACAGAAGAAAACCUAUUCGACUCUGAAAGCUCGAACCUGUAUCAGAAGCAGGGGAAUAACAAUCUUAUGUCUGAUAGCAAUCAUAUUGCACCUCCAGAAACUGAAAAUAGAUCGAUGCUAACAAAUCCUUCCAAUAUAUAUCAACUGUAUGAAACCAAAAUAGUAACCUUGACUAGAAAAAACGUCUUGCUAGAAGAGCAGUUGAAUGUUGCAAUGGCAAGCCAGGAAGCUACGGAGAAGAACUUAUCUUCUGCUAUUAAGAGUAGGCAGGACAUGGAGAAAAAAAUUGCUGAUGCAAUGAAAGAGGUUGAGCUGCUGAAAGAGAAGCUGGCAAGUGUGGAGUUAGCUCAAGAAGAGGCAAAUAGUCUCUCAAAUAUGGUCCACUCUGAUAAUGUACGGCUUGAACAUGAUGUGGCAUUCUUAAAAGCGGUUUUGGAUGAUACCCAAAAGGUAAGUGCACUUUUAUUUGACUUAGCAUCAGUCACUUACGCCUUCCCUAUUAUGCUUGAUUGAGGAGCCUCUCUGUGACCCAGGAGCUGCAUUCGACCCGGGGGGUUCUAGCUGGAGAAAGGGCAAGAGCAUUCCAGCUCCAGGUAGAGCUGUUAUUUUUCAUCUAAAGUUGCCUAGUAUGGAGGGAACUUAAUCGAUAAUAUUCAUAUUAAUUUGUAGGUGGAAGUCUUUCAUCUGAAGCAAAGAUUGCAGUCUAUGGAGAACAGGGCACCAACACCAAGAAAACCUUUCCACAUGUAGAGAACAGAAUCUUUUCCCCGCAGAAUGUCAGACUUUCUUUUUCAUUGGACUUUUCAACUGGCACUUGUAUCUUGGUUCACCGUAGACUAUGUUCUUUGCCUGUACAGAGUAAAUUUGUAAGCUACUUAGCAUAUCAAGGUGUAAUUGUAUCAUGUAAAUUUUUAAACUAGCAACUCGUUACCUUGUCAAUAUUCUGGGGGACUGCAAUGUUAAUCCUCGACUAAUUAGGAUGAUUCUGGCCCAUUUCAUUGUGGCAGAAGUUUGUAAGGAACUCUGAUGCGUUCUUUUGCUUAUAUGAGUGUGCUGUCUUUUGCUUAUAUGAGUGUGCUGUCGAGCUUUUUCUUCAUAAUGUGUCAGCAAGCUACCAUGAAAAUUUAUUGCACUGCUGUCGAUCCCCAGUCAAUCUUUAGCUCUCAAAUAUAGAUGAACUGCCUAAUCACAAGAAAGGUAGAGGUUGUAUCACCCAACUGGUUUUCUUUUCUAAGAUACAUGAACUCCCUGGCUCAUGAUAUCUGUUCGAUCCGCCCUCUUCUUUGCACAACCCGACUGGUCAAAGCGAAUCAUGCUGGAAUGGUCUUGGUAAGUGCUGAGGGAAGCUGUAGUAGUAGAUGAGCGGUGGUAUAGCAUGCUUUCAGAGUGGCAAAUGAAGCUGCAGAUUGAAUACCUUUGAAGAUGACUAGUCAUUCUUGGGGCACUUCAGAGAGGAGCUAACUAUAUAGAACUUUGAUUUUAUUAAAUAUAUCAAUAUUUGAUUUUAUUGAAUAUAUCAAUAUUAGAAUUGUAUGAAUCAUUUGUUUUAGCAAAUAAUAAUAAUAAUAAUAAAUUAAUAGGAAGAAUAUUUGGCCACACUAUACUAUUGCUCUUUGGAGACUAUACUAUUGCUCUUUGGAGUCGGACCGAGUUCUGAGCGGUUCUGCAGACCAAAGCUUUUCAUAUUAAAUUGCAAAAAAAACUCCGGCUGCCCAACUUGGUCCAGUUAGAUUGAUGAACAACUAAUAAUUUUGAUCUCACAAUCCUAACACUCGAUCCAGCUGCAUCAUUCUUUAGAAUUCUUGAAGCCAACGUUGAGGUGCCAAUGUGUACAAAGUCCUGAUGCUGGUAAUGGAGCCACACUGAUAGACAUCGGAUUUUAUUUCCGAGGUGAAGAAAUUAUUGUUAGCACCACAGAAACAUCAUUUCCUUUUGAGUAGGUAAGCGCACAAGCUGCUUGUGCCAAUUCUUAUUUGAUUAAAAAUAUGGUGUCAAUUCCUCUAGUUAGAGGUUCAUCAAACGAGAUAAGCUGGCAGCAAUCUACGGGCGGAAGGAAAAUAGCUAAGAAAGAAAUCAGUAAAAGUUCUGCAUUAUCUCAAUAAAGCUUGUGCGCAUCAGGGUUAAACAUGACUUAAAACGCCUAUAAGCUAAUGCCAUGUUGACACGACACUGACAGAUUACUCGAUAAUUAAAAUCAUCACACCAAGAACACAUCGCCUGCACAUUGAAGAGGAUUCAAAGUUGAAACUUUCAGGAUGACCCCUCAACUGUCAUCCUGUUGACCUACUUCAAAACCCAAGCCUCCAAUUGACAUCCAUAUUGUAUAUGCGAUAAAUGCUGAGGUUAUUGUUCUCCUAACCAUUUUGAUAACAAUUUGAUCAUGUGUCUAUAUAUCAUUGGCCAAAACUCUGCUUUCAACUACAUACAUAAUUAUGGAAAAAACAAAGACGAAAACUUACAGUAGCUUCCUCAGCAAAUCUUUUCACGUCUACAAAGGACAAUCCUGACAAUUAAUGGUGCAUCUAUCUGAUCACUUACGGUUGUGAAAAUCAAAAUAAUUGGCCUCAUCAUAAGUGCUCAGUGUUUCUAAUAAUAACUUAAAACAUUGCGCCAACGGUCACUUUUUUUCUGUUAGUAGUAAAAACUACUGAUAUUGCUGCAAGUGACCAUCCCACAAAAGCCUUGAAAGACAACUGGAAGCAGAGAUAGCAUAACAAUGAAUUUCUUUUCUUAUAUUGCUGUGUCCUUCCCAGAUGCAGUAGGGUUUGCAUGUUUUGUUAGGUGAGGCAGCUCGAGCUACUGACAUAGCCUGCACAAAGUACCCACGAGUUUUUAAUCUUUGCAUACUAUGGCAGCUCAGCUUAUUGAUCACCUUCAGCCUCCUCAGUAUCAUUUUCUUCUCUCUUCGAGUGCACCUGGAUCCAUUCCCUGCACAAGCAGAAACGCAUUUGUACAAUAUCUUGAUAUUAUCUGAGCAUCAAAUUCUAUUGAUUUCCAAAAGUUUGAUACUUAUAUAUGCGCUUCCAAAGAGAAAAAAAUUGCACACAUCCUUGUCGUUCAAUAACAUCCUUCAAACAAAGACUAACCUUACCAUUUUAUCUUGCCAUCUUACAUACAUACGUACAUAAACACAUGUACAUAUUAGCCAAACUAACAUUCAAAUGAUGGAAAUGAAGCCAAAACGGGAAGAGUAUAUAUACAUGCAAAUUUUAGAGUUUUGGAUGGGCACAUAUGCAUUUAUCUACCUUUAAAAGGGUAAAUACAUUUAUCUAUCUCGUGCAUGUGAAACUGGUCAGAGAUCUAACAUUAAAAGGACACCUUGAGAGAGUUGCUCUUCCUAUUUGAUUGUUUGGAAAUGGUCCAGUGAAGCAGUACCCCAAAGCAGCCUCAUAAUGCGAACGACCAUCUGAGAGCAUAUUUGAUGGUGCAAAUACUUAGAGCCAACUUGACGUGGAGAGGGUCAUCUGCUCAAUCUUUAAGAUAUCUCUCAACUAGUGAUAUGGCAUCUUUAUUUCAUCCCUCAACAACAUGUAACUCAGCCAAUGCUAGAGCAGCUCCAAAAUGUAAUUCUUGCAAAGGUUCCUCUUACCUAUAAUUGGAUAGGAUCUUGGUCAGAAUUUAUACUCGCCUCCUCUUAUAGGUCUUUAGUUUUGAGAUGAUACUUGGACUCAGUAUGACCUUUGGGUGGGUUGGAUUAGGUCGAGACUUAACCCUAACCAACUUAAUCACCAUAUCUCCCAAUGCUAAUCCAGUCCAACCCUAUCUUAAGCUAAAUUUCGAUUGUGUCGAAUUAAUUGAGUAAUCUUAGAUUUUAAAGGUAAUUUUUGAUCGAAAGAAUGUCCUGAAUAAUAUUGAUACAGUUAGUGUUGGAAUGAUAGAUAUCUUAUUUAAAAGCACUUACACAGGUCUAUAACUCAAUAAGAUUAAAGAUAUACCAAAUGAGAUGCACAUACGUAAAGGUUGCGACAUGGCUCAAUAAUGUCACUAAUGACUAAAGGCUCAAUACGUAUCUGGUUAAGAGUUCUGAAGACAUGAAGGAUAUUUUGGAACAUACCGUCCAACAGGAAAAAACUUGAAAGCAAAGUAUCAACAUAAUACAGUCAGCAAAAGAAUAAGAAGAUCAGAAGUGCACAAACAAUGAAAAAUUACAAGGACAUUAAGGACUCUCAUCCUCAAGCACAAUUUAAUGAAACCAUCAGAGCUGAAUUUGCGAUGAUUAGACACCUGAUAUAUGCACAUUUAAGAAGCCCAAGUUACUCAAUUAGAAUAACACUAAAGAAGCCAGAGUGAUGGUGUUCGGGCAAUAACCAACAUGAAAGAAGGAAACUAUCUGAAAGUGUUUUCAUAGAAUAUAUCAAUAGGGUAGUUAAGGAAGGUCAAUCAUAUAGCUAGCAAUUGGAAAAGCAUACUAUUCAACUAUAGCAACUAUCAAGACAAGCAAUUCUCCACUUCACACUACUCUUCGCUCUUCAACAUUCCCUUUCCUGAUCUUUCAAAAAUAAUCCUUUCCAGAUUCAAGAUUCUUUGGCACCUAUACAUGGCAAAUGGUAUUGACGAAUAUUACACCAGCCAGAAUUUAAGCAUACAAUACAAUGACUUGGAUUCAAAUCCUUGGAGAGUCGUAGGGGGACCUCAGAUUGACAAUAUGAGACUGGCAAAGGUCUGAAGAUAUCCCUCAAUGCCUCAUAGAAACCAGAGGCCUCUCGAUGCUUCAUUGAAAAAAAAAUCAUGGAUGUGAACUGCAGCCGCAAUGGUAUAAAGAACAUUCAGUUUUGUAAUAUAUAAUAGUAAGUAGUUGCUGAAAUAGCCAGGUCUAGAGUUAGAACAAGGAUGGCAGAACAUCGAGCAAUUUGACACAAGUUCACAAAAAGUAAUGAGCCUGCAGAUGGCUAAACAUCAACGGUUUCGGAAAUAACGAAACCAAAGCUUCCAAGAUCCAGAAGUCAGUGACUAUGCAAAACUCAAAGGCUAUCAUGUAACAUCUUGAGUCGACAAUGACUAGCACCCAAGGUUUGCUGUACCGUUCGGUACCGAGCGUACCGUACCCGUAUCGAUGGGUACCGGUAUCGGUACACCAAUGUCGGUACGCUUGGCGUACCGCAUACCGUACCGUACCGACACUCGGUACAUCUAUACUAGUGCGGCACCGGUAUGGGGUUCGGUACCGGUACGGCGAACCUUGCUAACACCUGUAUCUAUGAAGGUAAACUUGAAAUGUAUGUCAGCAAUUCAUUCCACAAAGGACUCAAAAGUUCCUACUAUUAAUAUGCUCUGGCUUCAGAUCACCAUUUUACAGAGAAUUUUUGAAUAUAUCUACAAAUAAUGAAUAUUUAUCUUUUUAAUCUAAUCUAGAAUGAUGCAAUGACUGCAAAACCAUCUUGAAUUCUGGAAACUAUUGACAGGAAAAUAGCUAUAAACUGCCUUUCAUUCAUUUAUUAUAGAGUUAAAUUUUCCCUUACAAAUUUUGCAAUAUAAUUUCCACCUCCGCUCCUCCAUCCGACCUUUUUAAGCAUCAAGUGUAAAAGAUUAUGUAGGCUUGCAUAUUAACCAUCUUGUUGUGACAAGAUACAAUAUAAUUCAAUAUGACAAUCCAAAAAGCUGAAUGCAAAUCACUAGCCUCAAGGUCAAGGUCAAAAGACAAUGUUUUCAUAACUGGUUGAACUAUGAAGCUCAUCGUAAGACAACCAAUUACUGCAAGCUAAUAAUUAGCCAGCAACUUUGGUGAAGUCCUGGUCUUAUGAAUUAUGAAGCUCAUUGUUUUCUUUGAAUAAUGAAUUAUAAUUAUUUACUUUAGCUAUAUCUGGCUCAAACAAGUGAUGCAGAGACUUAUCAGAUAUCAAUGAAAAAGGGUAAAUCUACAAGGACACAAAUCUAGAUCAAACAAGCAUUUAGUGGAUUAAGAACUCCGAGAUCCAAAUCCUGAUAUCACUACACUUGGGGAUCGUCGCCCAAUUUGAUAUACGUACAGCAUAUAUGUGUAUAUAAAGCAAGAUGCACACAUCUAAAUACAUGACUUCUGCAUCAGCCAUUCAUACAAAAGAAAAGGGCUGUGACAAGAUCAAGAGUCAAGUCCCAGCUAUUAGGACUGUUUCUAAGUCCUGAUACAAGAGAACGAGACUGCACAUGAUAAAGAAGCACAGCGAAGGAUCUAAAAGAAGUAUGAAACUGCUUGAGAAUGAAUUUUUUUAUUCAAUCAAACUGAGGAUACAUGCAAAUUAAAAAUUCAGAAGAAAAUGGUGAUCUUAUGCCCUGUGGUGUUCCAAAUGAUAUGUGAAAAAUUAGACCAUCAUCACACCAAUCUUUAGUCUACACAACCAAUAGCACAAGAGAAGAGCAUAAAUAAUGUGGAAUCCAGGAUCUGGUGGUGAGUUCAUGAAAUCUGAUCUUAAUUUUUACCAUAAGCUAAUAAACUGGAUCAGCCACUAAGUUUAUAUCAUUCAUGAUCAGUAUUGGAUAUCAUGAUGAUCUAUAUCACAAGCAAUAAUCAAUGAAACCAUGAACCAAGCCAGCUGGAGAUAUAACUAACAGCAGACCUAGGGGCAGUAUAAGCCUCAAUGAAAUCAGGGUAAGAUGUCAACUACCAUGAAUUGCCCACACUAGGCAAGCAGUUAGGUCUAUCAUGUACGGUAGGCAUGUCAAAGUAAUUUGCAUUUUGCAGCUAGCCAACAAUGUAAAAGGACUUAUAGUAAAUUACUUGUUAUGACAUGUUAGCCAAGUCUCAUACUAGCAGCCUGAGUCAGGCUUGUGAAAAUAAGGCCUUAAAUUGUAAAAAGCAUAGAUUCCCGUGGUAAUAUCUAAUUGAGAUUUUAAAUAAGUAUAGUUGUAUAGGAUCUUUACUCAAGUUUAAGUAUACAUAAAUUCACCAUCCAAGAUAACUAGGAAAAAUGGCACUAAUAGAGCCUGAAGAUGGUAUUCAUAAGGCUUCAAAAAAUUAAUUUUUGAGUGCCAUUCAAUAAAGUGGAAAGACAAAGAACUCAUUGUGUUUCUCAAGCAUAUCGAAUAUCUUGACUUUAAUUUGAUUGUACACUAAAUUGAGAUCCAACUUUCAAAAUUAACUUACCCUAUAUAAAUCAUUAAAUGAACCAACUAAACACCUACUUGAGUGCUAAAUUCAUCCUUUGAUCCAUCACAUUUCUGGACGAGGAUUUUUGAUGAUAAUUUCUUGUUCUAGCAAUGUUGUUUCCAUCAUUGCAUCUAAGAAGGUUGCUCCUAGAUCACCCUGUUUAUACGAAUAAAUGGGCAAGGGAGUUUGUUUGAGGUGCUUCAACAUAUAGCAGCAAGUCAGACUAGUUAUGAGUAUGAUUUAGACAAUAAAAACAAUAACAAUAAAAUAUAAAAAAAUAAAGACCUUUCAACAAAAUUUAAAAUCUGUGAAUCAUGAUCAUCUCCACAUAAUAUAAAGCAAAAAAGAGGAAAAAUGGACCCUAAGAUUAAUAUCAUUUGUUGAAUUAAGUGUCUAUAGAUAAGCUGAGACGGAGGAACCCUAGACCCUUCAAGGCAUGGAAUUCUUCUUCAAAAAUAAACUACAAAAACAACCUACAAGAGUUGACAAAAUAAAUUCACAACAACACAUCUCAGAGAAGCAGACAGAAGUCAGUCUUCAAUCGCCUUGCAAUUAAAAAAAAGGGAGAAAGUUAGAACAUUUACAUGCUGAGUCACAUCUGGCCAUGUGCAACCACCAUACCGGUGGGCUUUUCUUCCAAUAUUUUGUCAUAAAUCUUCAUACAAAGUUCACAUCUACAUGCUUUAACAUAUUUGAGUGAGAAAAGUGAUGAUCCACAACCAGGCAGUCCACUCAUAUGCUUCAGCUAAGGAAUACAGAGAUACAAACAUAGCAUAUCCAGAAACCUCAACUGGUAGCUCCUAAAGUUUUUCUCCUUCUCCCUGUAUAAUCCAUGCUCAUGGUUUCUAAUCCUCUUAUUCAAUUGUUCCAUUUUGCAUAGAUUCAUGCCACAAACUUGUCACCAUAACUGUAGCAAAAUGAGAUAUAUUUGUUUGCGCUUGCUUCAUAACAGCCAGAGCCUAGAGCAGACCAUUUCUUAGCAUGGAGUCAGCUAGUGUUCUUAGUAUAAACAUGGCAAGCCAAUCGUGAGAAUCAUAGUCAUAAACAAAACAUGUAGACAAGUAGACAUGAUAUGUACUUCUCCUUUAAGGACAUCCAGAAGCAACUCCAAAAGAGUUCUAGUACCAAUACCAUUGUGUGAUACGUUAGUUUCUCGAAGUAGGGUUUAGUAAUCUUUCAUAACUGUGUUAAUGAUUUUGCAAAAAAAGAAACCAUAAAGACUUGUUGGGAAUGAAGUACUUUGAGUUUCCACAAACUUUUAAUAAAUUAUUGUCCCAUGACUCCUCUGCAAUCCGUGUCCUAUUCAAAUGCUUCCUCAACAUGUGAAAGAAAGAUCCAUAAACUUUUUUGGAGUCUCAGAAACAACCCUGAUAUGAGUAUUUGAUAUCCUCAAAAACCAUCACUCUGAAUCUCCACCAUCAAAGCAAGAUCACACCAUUAAGAGUGUCUAGCGGCCAAACAAUGAAUCCUGGCCCCUUGCAUUGUGAGGAGAACCCUUCAGCUGCGAGAUAGUGCUUAACCCAUGUCAAACCAAUCGGAAAGAUCAUUUAGGGAAAGUCACUACUUAAAUGAGUUGUACUUCAUAUCCAAGUGCAAGUUUCCAUUCAAAUGAAACAUUGUUGUGAAAUCUAAGAAAGCCAAUCAUUUCAAAGUGAUAAUUCCUCGUAAAGAUAACACCCAAGCAAUUCUUAUUAACAAUUCACGCUAAAAGCAUUUCUUUUCCCCCAAAGGUGACUGAAAAAAUAUGCACUUCUUUCCCCCAAAGGUGAGGUUCUUAUAAAGAUUUUUUCAGUUCAGAUAAUGGGAACUAGCAAUAUGCUGCUAGAGUAUAGCAGCAAAUGAAAGGUGAAAUUUAUCUCUCUAACCUUGACUAUUGCGAGCCAUGGAUAUCAUAUUAAGCUCUAAAGUUUCAAAAGCAUAUUGCAAAACUUUCAAAGCAAAAAAUAACAAUUCCAGCUAAUAACUUCAGUACACAUCAUUAAAAGGUAACCAUCAAUUUCCAGAACACUGAAAAUCUAUUAAUAUGGAACCACAUUUCUCAGGCUAAACCAAAUGACUAAUAAAGGAUUUACAAGUAGAGAAUCCAAGAUCACAAAAUGAUGAUAGUUUUUAUCCUAAACAAGAAGCAGAAGAAGAAUAGUAGAAUAAAAAAGAAGUCCUGAGCGAGUCCUCACCAAUAAUCAGAAUAUUACAAGCAGGGAGAAGAGCAUGUAGACGAGCCAGCAAGCAUAGGCUAUGAGGCCGCGAUGCUCGUCCCCGCACAAGGCCAGCUCGACGAGAAGCCUCGUGCAGACCCUGGUAGACCAGAGAACGAAUACGGCCCCCAUGGCAAAGAUUACAAGGCCGCCAUGGGGCACGAAGAGGGAGACCGCGGAGAAAAUGACCAUGGGAAGCAUGCAGUAGCCGACAAGGCUGACACAGCGGUAGAGAUCGAGGUUGCCGUUGCGGCCGGCAAGCAUGUUGAAGACGACGUAAAGGAAGAGGGCGGCGACGGUGACCCAGCCGAGGAUGAUGCCGAAGUGGAACUUGCCGGCGAGAAGCUGGAAGAGGCCGAAGGCCAUGAGGAAGAGGAAGGGGCCGGAAAGGUCGGCGUCCUCGUGGAGGUCAGGGUUAACACGGAAGGGGUUGAGGAUGGAGGCGGUCUUGCGCCAGAUCUGGCGGGUGUUGAUGCCGAGCUCCUCGAGGAGAGGGGGCUCGUCGUCGAAGGAGGCGGCGCCGGCGGAGAGGGGACCGCCGCCGGUGGAGGCGAAGACGGGGGCGGAAAAGGAUGAGCUGGAGGGGGCGGAGCCGAUGUCGAAGGACAAGAAGGGGAGGCUGGGGUUGGAGGGGCCGGUGGCGAAGGAGGCAGCGGCCGGGCGGGAGGGCUGGAAGGGCGGCGCUGCCGGGGCGCGGCGCUGGUGGGGGGCGUUGGGGUUGCCGGCAGAGGAGGGGAAGACCACCGGGGGGACGCUGAACUCCUUCGCCAUCGGCAGCAGCGGCGGCGGCGGCGGCUUCUUCCCAAGAUCCGGAUUGAUUGGGAGAGUCGAGAAGAGGAAUUCGAGAUCGGAGAAGAUUUUAGGGUUGGAGUUCGACGGAAUUCCAAGAAAUUAGAGUUUGGAGGAGUCGAGGCCUGCGAUCGAGAUCGAGAAAAGUGAUGGAGUCAUGGAGGGUGCUUCUGGCCGUAGAAGUCUCGCCUUAGGCCUUAAGGCAACUGCUCAGGUAUCGCCAACCGAAAUUUCGGGCAUUCACCGAUAAAUCCAAAAUAUCAGCUGAGGCUGGCGAAAGAUGGGGGGAAGGGAUGAAGGGAGACUGAUAUAAUGCGACUUUAUUCUUUUGCGUUACGAUGCCGAGUAAUCCGACCGAGAAAAACCGAAAUAUCGGUUGUCUGCGUAUUUGCUACCUACCAAUAUACGGCCGAAACACUGUUCCUCAAAGCCUUGGGCAUUACCUGUCACCUCUGCGAGCAUAUACCAGGUUGAACCUUUCGAAGUCAGCAGCUUGCUUCAAUCCAAAGGCACAGACGCAGCUAAAGGCCUCUGUCAAGAAUUACUUUAGAGUUUAGAGAGCAGGAUGGGGCCUGGGACUACCUUGGGAUCCCUCUUUUCAAGAAGAGGCUACGAAGAGCGGACUGUGGUGCCAUCAAGCAAAAUAACACUGGUGAGGUCUAUGCUUAGUUCUAUCCCGAUCUUUUUUAUGUCUCAUACUGCCCUCCCAAAGUCCUCUUUAACGAAGCUUGAACAACUAUUCAGAAACUUCUUGUGGAGGAUGGGGGGUGGAGCAGACAGAGUGCAUUUGGUUGCCUAAGGAGCUAUCUGCCAACCCCUAUGUGAUGGUGGCUUGAGAGUGCAAUCCUUGAUGAUUAGACAAGAGGCCCUGCCAGGUUCUUGUUGGAGCAUGACUGCUUGUGGAGCUCUAUUGUGAGGGCCAAAUAUGGCCCAUGGACAUCACCUUUGGUAUCCAGGCCAAUCAAAAUAGUUCAUUAAUAUGGAGAGAGAUCUGUUUCUAGGCCCCUACAGUUAUAGCGAAUAUUAGAUGGUCCAUUGGUGAUGGACGAUCAGUGAAUGUGAUCGCAGAUGCUUGGAUUCGGACUUACCUCUUUUGCAAUGGCCCACCAUGGUCAAUGCUAAGGUGAGCCCAAACAUGUGAAUCUGUGAGUUGUUCGUUCUUGGGCAGAAGAGAUGAGACAUUGACCUCAUCACUCGUCUUUUUGGAGUGCGAUCAACAACGCAGAUUAUGGCCCUAUUUGAUAGAGCUAUUAGCAGUAGAACUUUCAAAAGUCGAACUUUUUGAAGUAGAGCUUUUAUAAAAAGAUAUUUAUUAUUUGGUAACUACAUUUCUAAAAUGCUGUGGAGCUUUAAUGUGUUUGGCAAACAAACUGAGAAAGUACUUAUAGCUAACAAAAUGAUCAUAAAAAAUAUUGCAUAAUAUUAUAUAAUAGAACAUAAUAAAAUAUAAUAUAUAUUAAUACAUAAAUAUAUGAUAUAGUAUAAUAUUACUGUAAUGUAAUAUAAUAUUAUUUUAAUAUAGUUAAUAUAAUAUCGUAUACUGUAGCAUAAUAAUAUAGCAUAAUUCGAUAUUAUAUAACAUAACAUAUCAAUGUAUUAUGAUAUAAUGUCAUAUAAUAUUAUAUUUAUAGUAUAAUACAAUAUUUUAAUAUAAAAUAUUAUAAUUAUUAUCAUUAUAUAUUAAAAUUUUAUUAAUAUAAUAUUUUUAGGAACUAAUUUUUGGAGAAAAAUAUAGAGGCAUGCAAUCAUACUUGCAAAAGUAAGAUUUUACGAUUCUUUUUUUUUCAAUGCUUUCUCAUUCAAAACGAUGGACAAAUAAAUGGAGGAAAGAAAUAAUAUCUUGAUCACGUAGCAAAGAAGAAAGCCAAGGCCGAUUAGGGUUUCUUAUUUGUUGAAGCUCCUAUAGAUUUUUUUCUUCAUGCAUUAUGAUAUAAAGAGACACUUUCUGCAAUUAUAUAAUUUUAUCAUGGGUAUUUUAAUCUUAAAAAAAUUAUAAAUCUAAAACAACUUUUUAAUGUGUGCUAAAAGUACUUUUCCAAAGAAACUUUAUUUUAAAGAUUCUCCCAAGUAGACAUUUUCAACUUUCUGAUAAAACUAAAACAACUUCUCGAUUUUUUACUAAACACUACUAUUUCAUCUAAAAGUUCUUUUGGAGGGUCAAAAAAUAUUUUUUGGCCCACCAAAAGCUCUGUUAAAUAGAGCCUAUAUCCUUACCUAUCUCUAGGUUCGCUACCACGAACAGGAGGGUGUGGCACUUCACUUGCAGUCCGAGAGUAAGGGCUAAGGACUUGUAUAAUAUCUACAAGGCUGAGCAUGACCGGAUAUUGGAUGGUGCUUGGAUUUGAAAGCUGGGGGUUCACCUAAGAGUGGCAUUGUUCAUUUGGAAAGUGGCAUGGGGUCGGCUGCCAUCCAAGGGAGUUCUGAGUCGGUCGAGGGAUGAGAAAAUCCUCGAACUGCGACGUUUGCCUGGUAGUGGAGUCUGUGGAUCAUAUCUUAGUUUCGGUGCCCGCAAGCACGCUAGGUUUGGGGCCUCAUCCAAAACCCCUUGACUUUCCUCCAAGCUGGGGUCCUAGUUGAGUUCUUCCUUUCCUGUCUGAGGAGGUGUAAGAAUAGACCUCACAUCGAAAGCUAGGGCAUCAGGAUUGCAUAUUUAGCCUACUACAUCUGAUUUGCCAGGAAUGGCCAAAUAUUUGAGGAUAGUACUCAGCCACAGAGAGUCACUUUGGAGAGGUCCUUCACUCAGGCUGCUAAAGUUAUUCACUCAUCCGCCAUUGGAGAGACCUUGAUAGUUCGGAACACCUGGGACCCCACCUCAGCUCACACAGCGUCCGGGAUGCAAUUCAUCUUCCCAUUAUAAGUUAUUAUUAUAGCCAUUACUCUAUUCCACAACAAUCUAGUCAAUGCAAUUGGGUCGGCCCCAUGGGGCCGAACCAAUGUAUUUUGGUCGGCCCCAUGGUCGAAGGAGUCGGUCGAGGGAUGAGAAAAUCCUCGAACUGCGACGUUUGCCUGGUAGUGGAGUCUGUGGAUCAUAUCUUGUUUCGGUGCCCGCAAGCACGCUAGGUUUGGGGCCUCAUCCAAAACCCCUUGACUUUCCUCCAAGCUGGGGUCCUAGUUGAGUUCUUCCUUUCCUGUCUGAGGAGGUGUAAGAAUAGACCUCACAUCGAAAGCUAGGGCAUCAGGAUUGCAUAUUUAGCCUACUACAUCUGAUUUGCCAGGAAUGGCCAAAUAUUUGAGGAUAGUACUCAGCCACAGAGAGUCACUUUGGAGAGGUCCUUCACUAGGAUUGAUUGAGCAAUCCUAGCCACUAUUUCAAGUAACAGGCAACAGCAGCAACAUUAAAAUCCGUGAAAACAUCGCUAUCGACAUCUUGGUCCCAUGUUAGUUCUAUAAUUAAAUAAUUGAAAAAAAGGGGGAAAACAAGCAAGGGAAGGCCUCAAGCAGAGUUAAAAGGCCAUCACCACUGCAGUAUAAUACAGCUUCAUUACUUGGUAAUCCACGAACAGUCCAUGAACAACUUGUUUUAAGCUAUUAUUGCAAAAAUAGAGGAAAAAAAAGAGAGAGAGAGAGAGAGAGAGAAAUACAUCUACCUCAAUAAAAUUUACUUAUUGGAGAAUAAGUCAGAGAAUCACCUGGCCAAUAAAUAAUAAUCGAAUAUUCAAGAUUUUUUCUCAAUAAUUCUUGAGAUGAUAGUAUUGCUGUAAAUUCAAAAUUU
rnacentral:lncRNA from 1 species